rnacentral:rRNA from 14 species
GAUAACUGGCUUGCAGCGGCCAAGCGUUCAUAGCGACGUCGCUUUUUGAUCCUUCGAUGUCAGCUCUUCCUAUCAUUGCGAAGCAAAAUUCGCCAAGCGUCGGAUUGUUCACCUACUUAAUGGAACGUGGACUGGGUUUAUACCGUCGUGGGACAGGUU